AACGAACGCUGGCGGCAUGCCUAACACAUGCAAGUCGAACGAAGUCUUCGGACUUAGUGGCGCACGGGUGCGUAACGCGUGGGAAUCUGCCCUUGGGUGCGGAAUAACUUCUCGAAAGGGAUGCUAAUACCGCAUAAUGUCGUAAGACCAAAGAUUUAUCGCCCAAGGAUGAGCCCGCGUAAGAUUAGCUAGUUGGUGGGGUAAAAGCCUACCAAGGCGACGAUCUUUAGCUGGUCUGAGAGGAUGAUCAGCCACACUGGGACUGAGACACGGCCCAGACUCCUACGGGAGGCAGCAGUGGGGAAUAUUGGGACAAUGGGCGAAAGCCUGAUCCAGCAAUGCCGCGUGAGUGAUGAAGGCCCUAGGGUUGUAAAGCUCUUUUACCAGGGAUGAUAAUGACAGUACCUGGAGAAUAAGCUCCGGCUAACUCCGUGCCAGCAGCCGCGGUAA
rnacentral:rRNA from 1 species